rnacentral:rRNA from 1 species
AACGCGAAGAACCUUACCAAGGUUUGACAUACAGGGAAAAGCCGUAGAGAUAUGGUGUCCGUAAGGGUCCUGUACAGGUGGUGCAUGGCUGUCGUCAGCUCGUGUCGUGAGAUGUUGGGUUAAGUCCCGCAACGAGCGCAACCCUCGUCCUAUGUUGCCAGCGGAUAAUGCCGGGGACUCAUAGGAGACUGCCGGGGUCAACUCGGAGGAAGGUGGGGAUGACGUCAAGUCCUCAUGCCCCUUAUGUCUUGGGCUGCAAACAUGCUACAAUGGCCAGUACAAAGGGUUGCGAGACCGCAAGGUGGAGCGAAUCCCAAAAAGCUGGUCUCAGUUCGGAUUGGGGUCUGCAACUCGACCCCAUGAAGUCGGAGUCGCUAGUAAUCGCAGAUCAGCAACGCUGCGGUGAAUACGUUCCCGGGCCUUGUACACACCGUAGUAC